AAAUUGUUCUGCUGGUUUUGUGAUGUGCUUUUGCAUGUUCGAGUGCCUUUGGUGGAGGAACAAUCGUAUGAUUGCUUUUGUGACCUAAUGGGUGAGACGUUUAUUUUUUUUAAAGCACACAAAGAGUGAAAUUACAGGGUUUCCAAUCAUAUAUAAAGGGAAUAUUGUAAUCGUAAAGGGGAAUCGUGCAAAUCGGUUGGAGAAUUUUCAAUUGAUCUUUUAGAAACAAUACCAUCAGACGUAAUGAAGUCUAUAAAGAAUAAAAGAUUGUCAGCCAACGUCAAUUUGAUGGCAAAAGAUAUUAAAUUAUUUUGAAUCAGGCUGCAUAGCCUGAUCAGGUAUUAAGUUUUUUUUUGAGUAAUUUUGAAAAAAAAUUAGAAAUGGACUCAUUGUCAUGCCAAUUGGUUGAAAUAAGUUUCUUUUCACUCAAAUAAUGCUUUAAACACAAAAAAGAAUAAAAAAUCGGAAAAAAAUUUUUAAAAAAAUUUCAUCUCGAAAAUUUCAUAAGGGGUACCCCUUGCCAUUUUUUUGAGAAAUUUUGCAAAAAAAAUUAAAUUGAUUUAUUUUAAUGCCAAUCGGUUCAAAUAAGUUUCUUUUCACUCAAAUAAUGUUUUAAAUAAAAAAAAGAAUAAAAAAUUGAAGAAAAUUAAAAAAAUUCUAAAAAUUUGAAAAUUUUAUAAGGCUAAUUUUUGCACCAAGUUUUGGCUAUAACUCGGUCGGUAUCCAACGGAUCGCCAAUCUUUAACCUGUGGUCGAUAGAUGGCAUCAAUGGCUACAUUUUCUUCUUGGACGGCCAUACUCUCAGAUGUCUGUGCCAGAAGUUAUUCGAGGAACCAAGUUCCAUACCCUGUUUGAGAAAAUGUCAAAUUUUCCUCAUUUUUGCACCAAGUUUUGCCUAUAACUCGGUCGGUAUUCAACGGAUCGCCAAUCUUUAACCUGUGGUCGAUAGAUGGCACCAAUGGCUACAUUUUCUUCUUCGAUGGCCAUGCCCUCAGAUGCCUGUGCCAGAAGUUAUUCGACGAACCAAGUUCCAUACCCUGUUUGAGAAAAUGUCAAAUUUUCCUCAUUUUUGCACCAAGUUUUGCCUAUAACUCGGUCGGUAUCCAGCGGAUCGCCAAUCUUUAACCU